CAGCGUAGGCACCAAGCGUUGUCCGGAUUUAUGGGCGUAAAGAGCUCGUAGGCGGUUGAGUAAGUCGGGUGUGAAAACUCUGGGCUUACCCAGAGCCGCCACUCGAUACUGCUCUGACUUGAGUUCGGUAGGGGAGCAGGGAAUUCCUAGUGUAGCGGUGAAAUGCGCAGAUAUUAGGAGGAACACCGGUGGCGAAGGCGCUGCUCUGGGCCGAAACUGACGCUGAGGAGCGAAAGCGUGGGUAGCAAACAGG
rnacentral:rRNA from 1 species